UACGGAGGGUGCGAGCGUUGUCCGGAAUCACUGGGCGUAAAGGGCGCGUAGGCGGCCUGAUAAGUAGGGGGGUGAAAUCCUGCGGCUUAACCGCAGGGCUGCCUUCUAAACUGUCAGGCUGGAGCACAGUAGAGGCAGGUGGAAUUCCCGGUGUAGCGGUGGAAUGCGUAGAGAUCGGGAAGAACAUCAGUGGCGAAGGCGGCCUGCUGGGCUGUUGCUGACGCUGAGGAGCGGAAAGCGUGGGGAGCGAACAGG
rnacentral:rRNA from 1 species